UACGUAGGGGGCAAGCGUUGUCCGGAUUUAUUGGGCGUAAAGAGCGUGUAGGCGGCCUUACAGGUCAGCUGUGAAAACUCGAGGCUCAACCUCGAGACGUCGGUUGAAACCGUAUGGCUAGAGUCCGGAAGAGGAGAGUGGAAUUCCUGGUGUAGCGGUGAAAUGCGCAGAUAUCAGGAGGAACACCAGCGGCGAAGGCGGCGCUCUGGGCCGGUACUGACGCUGAGGAGCGAAAGCGUGGGGAGCAAACAGG
rnacentral:rRNA from 1 species